AGAAGAAGAGACAGAAGUGCCAAUUCUGGGUUUCCAUUGAAUAAUCUUUUUGACUUAUAUUUCCCAUUUGAGAAGCGAGAACAUCUGCUACCAAAUCUAGUCUUCAGCAAUAAACACAAAACAGGAUGGUUGUUUUAAAAUUAAGUCUCUACCAAUAGAAUAGUGGCAAAGGAGAAACAGAAUCGACUAAGUGAAACCUACAUGCCCUUCUGAAAAGAAGGAAUGUUUGCUUGUGUCAAGAUGUUCACAGCACUGCCAAGGAAGCAAUGGACCAAGAAUGAAGAACAAAUGCACACUCACAGG